GCUGGCUCAGGCGGUGAUUCUUUUUUCUCUUUUUUUUUAUCAAGUAUUGAGGUGAAAGGGUGUUUUGGGUAUUUCCAACUAGUGCCAAUAGAUUUUUACUAUUUAGGAGAUUUUUUACGAGGAAUGAAGGACUUUUUGACGACACGAAGAAUUGUUACACGAUUGAAAAUUAGAGAGAUCAAGGAAUUCGGAGAGCGAAACAUUUUCAUGAGCGGAAACAAUUGAAGAUCCAAG
rnacentral:lncRNA from 1 species